CAGGUACUGGGACAUCUUGCCCCCAGCAGGAAACUUGGGAUGGGUGUCUUUGAAGUAAACCUGCAAGACAUUCCCACAGUCUGUAGGGUCACCAGGUGCCCCGGCCAGCCGUCUGCGUGCCAGCCCCCCCGGAGUCCGCCCUUCCCCAACAUCCCCCGGGAACACAGAGCCUCGGCCUGCUGCACAAGGCGACCAACCCGAGGGCCUGCUGCAUCAACGUUCUGCGGAGAACUGUCUCCGUGCCCCCUCCCUGCAGGAGAUUCCCACGCGGUCAGCGCAGAAAAGCCUCUGGGGAGAUGGGCUGGGCCCCACCCCUCCUGUGUAUCCUCAGCUCUUUCCGUUCUGUGCUGUCAUAGAGACAGCGCUCCUGGAACAAUUCCCCCCCGCCCCCCUCCCGUGCCCUUUGGGACUUCCCCUCUGGAAGAAGGGAAAGGCUACAAGAAAGACACGGGGAGACCGAGGGUGAGCAGCUCGCCCUGGCCAGGGCUGAGGGUGCUGGGCCUCGAGGGGCAAGCAGGAGUGAUGGGCAGGGAGGGGGCGGCUGGGGAGGGUGCGGGGACAGGGAGAGGCACGUGGGCCAGGACUCUGGCCAACGGGAAGCAGGGAGCAAGGUCUCUGAGGCAGGAGGGUCUGGUCUUCCUGAGUCUCCCAUCCUCUACUUGGAUCCCCCCCACCGACACCUUCUCCACAUCCGGCUAGAGUGAUUCCAACAAGAACAGAGGUCUGAACCGGACCACCUUCCCUCUCCUUCUGGAUAAAGGCCCAAACCUUACCGGGCCCCCAAGGCCCUGCCUGCCCCCCAACCUCCCCCUUCUUGUCCUCUGAAGCCCCCGCCCUUUGUGUCAGUCUAAAAGCCUCCUUCUGACUUCAGGGCCUUUGCACCGGCAAGGUCCUUUUCCUUCCUCUCAGUCUGGGCAACGCGUCCUCGGCCCCCACAUCUCACCCCCCUGUUGCCUGCCCAGGGGAGCAGCGCCCAUCACCCCACCUGCCUCACCUCUGGUGCCAUUCCAGGCGCUCAGUCUCACAUGUUUGUCCCCUGGAGCAAGGGGGUCCACUCUCCAGGCGAAGACAGGCUCCCGAGGCUAGGCCUGGGCACCCAGCACGAUCAAAAUGACCCCGAGCUAAGGAGGGACCCAGGCCACAGCCUGGACUGACAGACCCUGCUCCCUUCCUGCCCUCACAGCCCCUGGGCCUCAGCUCUGGCCCAGAGGGGGUCUCUGCCGGUCCUUCCACCAUGAAGCGCCUAGUGAGGGGACCCACGCAGUGGAGGUAGGACAGUAAGCCUGGUCCACAGGAACGCUGAGCCAGGGUGGCCAUGGGGGUUGGGGCCCAUACUGGGAGGGCCUCCGACAGCCCACAUCCAGGCCUGGGCUGGUUCAUAGUAGUUGGACGUGUAAUCCAAGAACAUGGAUCAUUCUGGAAAGCCUGUGCUUCUAACUUUCACAAAAGUGUACUGUGCUGCAGUUGGCAUUGCUUUUUCCACUCAAUACGAUGAUUUUUAAGAUCCUU